rnacentral:rRNA from 1 species
GACCUUCGGGCCUCUUGCCAUCAGAUGUGCCCAGAUGGGAUUAGCUAGUAGGUGGGGUAACGGCUCACCUAGGCGACGAUCCCUAGCUGGUCUGAGAGGAUGACCAGCCACACUGGAACUGAGACACGGUCCAGACUCCUACGGGAGGCAGCAGUGGGGAAUAUUGCACAAUGGGCGCAAGCCUGAUGCAGCCAUGCCGCGUGUAUGAAGAAGGCCUUCGGGUUGUAAAGUACUUUCAGCGGGGAGGAAGGCGUUGAGGUUAAUAACCUCAGCGAUUGACGUUACCCGCAGAAGAAGCACCGGCUAACUCCGUGCCAGCAGCCGCGGUAAUACGGAGGGUGCAAGCGUUAAUCGGAAUUACUGGGCGUGAGGCGCACGCAGGCGGUCUGUCAAGUCGGAUGUGAAAUCCCCGGGCUCAACCUGGGAACUGCAUUCGAAACUGGCAGGCUAGAGUCUUGUAGAGGGGGGUAGAAUUCCAGGUGUAGCGGUGAAAUGCGUAGAGAUCUGGAGGAAUACCGGUGGCGAAGGCGGCCCCCUGGACAAAGACUGACGCUCAGGUGCGAAAGCGUGGGGAGCAAACAGGAUUAGAUACCCUGGUAGUCCACGCCGUAAACGAUGUCGACUUGGAGGUUGUGCCCUUGAGGCGUGGCUUCCGGAGCUAACGCGUUAAGUCGACCGCCUGGGGAGUACGGCCGCAAGGUUAAAACUCAAAUGAAUUGACGGGGGCCCGCACAAGCGGUGGAGCAUGUGGUUUAUUUCGAUGCAACGCGAAGAACCUUACCUACUCUUGACAUCCAGAGAACUUUCCAGAGAUGGAUUGGUGCCUUCGGGAACUCUGAGACAGGUGCUGCAUGGCUGUCGUCAGCUCGUGUUGUGAAAUGUUGGGUUAAGUCCCGCAACGAGCGCAACCCUUAUCCUUUGUUGCCAGCGGUCCGGCCGGGAACUCAAAGGAGACUGCCAGUGAUAAACUGGAGGAAGGUGGGGAUGACGUCAAGUCAUCAUGGCCCUUACGAGUAGGGCUACACACGUGCUACAAUGGCGCAUACAAAGAGAAGCGACCUCGCGAGAGCAAGCGGACCUCAUAAAGUGCGUCGUAGUCCGGAUUGGAGUCUGCAACUCGACUCCAUGAAGUCGGAAUCGCUAGUAAUCGUAGAUCAGAAUGCUACGGUGAAUACGUUCCCGGGCCUUGUACACACCGCCCGUCACACCAUGGGAGUGGGUUGCAAAAGAAGUAGGUAGCUUAACCUUCGGGAGGGCGCUUACCACUUUGUGAUUCAUGACUGGGGUGAAGUCGUAACAAGGUAACC